CUGCGGUUUCAGGGAAUGAGCUCCGGGCAUCAGCUGUGGGAGUACGUCACCAGGCAUCGACGGUAAGCGGCUGAGAGGGGUGACCGGUCACCACUGGACUGAGACCCGGCCAGACUCCUACGGGAGUCAGCAGUGGGGAAUAUGCACCAUGGGCGCAAGCCUGAUGCAGCAACGCCGCGUGAGGGAACGACGCCUUCGGGUUGUAACCUCUUUAGCAGGGAAGAAGCGAAAGUGACGGUACCUGCAGAAAAAGCACCGGCUAACUACGUGCCAGCAGCCGCGGUAAUACGUAGGGUGCAAGCGUUAUCCGGAAUUAUUGGGCGUAAAGAGCUCGUAGGCGGUUUGUCGCGUCUGCUGUGAAAACCCGAGGCUCAACCUCGGGCCUGCAGUGGGUACGGGCAGACUAGAGUGCGGUAGGGGAGAUUGGAAUUCCUGGUGUAGCGGUGGAAUGCGCAGAUAUCAGGAGGAACACCGAUGGCGAAGGCAGAUCUCUGGGCCGUAACUGACGCUGAGGAGCGAAAGGGUGGGGAGCAAACAGGCUUAGAUACCCUGGUAGUCCACCCCGUAAACGUUGGGAACUAGUUGUGGGGACCAUUCCACGGUUUCCGUGACGCAGCUAACGCAUUAAGUUCCCCGCCUGGGGAGUACGGCCGCAAGGCUAAAACUCAAAGGAAUUGACGGGGACCCGCACAAGCGGCGGAGCAUGCGGAUUAAUUCGAUGCAACGCGAAGAACCUUACCAAGGCUUGACAUAUACGAGAACGCUGCAGAAAUGUAGAACUCUUUGGACACUCGUAAACAGGUGGUGCAUGGUUGUCGUCAGCUCGUGUCGUGAGAUGUUGGGUUAAGUCCCGCAACGAGCGCAACCCUCGUUCUAUGUUGCCAGCACGUAAUGGUGGGAACUCAUGGGAUACUGCCGGGGUCAACUCGGAGGAAGGUGGGGAUGACGUCAAAUCAUCAUGCCCCUUAUGUCUUGGGCUUCACGCAUGCUACAAUGGCCGGUACAAAGGGCUGCAAUACCGUAAGGUGGAGCGAAUCCCAAAAAGCCGGUCCCAGUUCGGAUUGAGGUCUGCAACUCGACCUCAUGAAGUCGGAGUCGCUAGUAAUCGCAGAUCAGCAACGCUGCGGUGAAUACGUUCCCGGGUCUUGUACACACCGCCCGUCAAGUCAUGAAAGUCGGUAACACCUGAAGCCGGUGGCCCAACCCUUGUGGAGGUAGCACGUCGAAUGGGGGUUUCCCCC
rnacentral:rRNA from 1 species